rnacentral:rRNA from 1 species
ACGAGUGGCGGACGGGUGAGUAACGCGUAGGAAUCUACCGAUAGGUUUGGGAUAGCCACGAGAAAUUGUGGAUAAUACCGAAUGAGACCGAGAGGUCAAAGGGGCGAAUGCCUCGCCUAUUGAUGAGCCUGCGACCCAUCAGGUAGUUGGGAGGGUAAAGGCCUACCAAGCCAAAGACGGGUAGCUGGUCUGAGAGGAUGAUCAGUCACAAGGGAACUGAGACACGGUCCCUACUCCUACGGGAGGCAGCAGCCAAGAAUAUUCCGCAAUGGGCGAAAGCCUGACGGAGCGACGCCGCGUGGGGGAAGAAGGCCUUCGGGUUGUAAACUCCUUUUCUUAGGGAAGAAUAAGGUACGGAGGAAAUGCCGUAUUGAUGACGGUACCUAAGGAAUAAGCCCCGGCUAAUUACGUGCCAGCAGCCGCGGUAAUACGUAAGGGGCAAGCGUUACUCGGAAUUACUGGGCGUAAAGGGCGCGCAGGCGGCCGCGCAAGUCAAAUGUAAAAAAUCACGGCUUAACCGUGGGUCUGCGUUUGAAACUGCGAGGCUAGAAUCUGGUGGAGGGUGAUGGAAUUCCCGGUGUAGCGGUGAAAUGCGUAGAGAUCGGGAAGAACACCAAAGGCGAAGGCAGUCAUCCAUGCCGAGAUUGACGCUGAGGCGCGAAAGCGUGGGUAGCAAACAGGAUUAGAUACCCUGGUAGUCCACGCUGUAAACGAUGUACACUAGGAGUUGGGGGGAUGCCCUUAGCUCCGCAGUUAACGCGAUAAGUGUACCGCCUGGGGACUACGACCGCAAGGUUGAAACUCAAAGAAAUUGACGGGGGCCCGCACAAGCGGUGGAGCAUGUGGUUUACUUCGAUGAUAAGCGAAGAACCUUACCA